AUUUAUUUUUUUAUGAUGGAGCCUUUAAAUCGACGAUCGGCAUCGUUGAACAUGAUCUAUACUACUUGAAACAUUCAGAAACCAAAUUUUAUGUUUUUUCAAUAUUAUUUUCUUAUCCAUCAAGUAGACACAAAAAUGAACGACUGAGAAUAAAUAUCCUUUAAAAAGUGAUGUUAGGAAUCUUGUAACCAAGAUCGAGAGUAUAGAUCUUGUUCUAAAUAACUUAAAGAAUUUAAAAUUCAAUUAAUUUAGAUAUUUUUAUAUUGUUAAACGAGAAAAUGCCUCGUGUGGACCAUUAAAAUUAUAAAUUUUGAAAUCUUUUGAUCAAUAAAUCAAUGAUAUCGAAAAGAUUUGAAAUUUGAUUUCUGCAUAUUUCAAGUGGUCUAGAUCAUAUUCAAUGAUACCGGUCGUCGAUUUGGAGGCUCCAUCAUAAAAAGCAAAUGGGUGGCAACGGAACCGUGUGCCAUCGAUAGUAUUUCAGCUCAAUUUUCUCUCUCUAUAUAUAGGCUAGGACUACCAUACUAUUACAAGUAUAGAUCUUUUUGUACUCAUAAAGUUUUGAUCGUUGGAUGAAGAAAUAUACGAUUAGAAUAAUAGUUGUCUCUGGGUUAGGAUGAUAGUAGUCCUAUAGGGUUGAGUGAGUGGUUGGGUUGAAUAGUAUGAUCUAACGGGUAAAAAUAGUCAAAGUUACAAAUCUAACGGUCGAAAAUUUAUAAGUACAAAAAGAUCUAUACUUAUGAGUUAGGCUGGAAUACUAUUGAUAGUAUUUGGCCCCUUUUGCUAUCAAACUUUUAACACUCGAAUGAGAAAUUGUAGAAUUAGAAUGAUAUUAGUCCAUUAAGGUUGAGUGGUCUUCACUGGACGAUAACAUUUAAUCCAAUAGUUAGAAAUGAUCAAACAAAUUGAUUCAAAGGCUAAAAGUUUAAUAGCAAAAAGAUACAAAUACUAUUAAUAAUAUUCUAGCCCAACUCCUGUACUCAUAAGACACUAUAUAUAAAUGUUCCCAACCAUCUGGUCCG
rnacentral:lncRNA from 1 species